rnacentral:rRNA from 1 species
GACGAACGCUGGCGGCGUGCCUAAUACAUGCAAGUCGAGCGGAAUGAUGAAGAAGCUUGCUUCUUCUGAUUUUAGCGGCGGACGGGUGAGUAACACGUGGGCAACCUACCUUGUAGAUUGGGAUAACUCCGGGAAACCGGGGCUAAUACCGAAUAAUCCAUUUUGCUUCAUGGCGAGAUGUUGAAAGACGGUUUCGGCUGUCACUACAGGAUGGGCCCGCGGCGCAUUAGCUAGUUGGUAGGGUAAUGGCCUACCAAGGCGACGAUGCGUAGCCGACCUGAGAGGGUGAUCGGCCACACUGGGACUGAGACACGGCCCAGACUCCUACGGGAGGCAGCAGUAGGGAAUCUUCCACAAUGGACGAAAGUCUGAUGGAGCAACGCCGCGUGAGUGAAGAAGGUUUUCGGAUCGUAAAACUCUGUUGUAAGGGAAGAACACGUACGAGAGUAACUGCUCGUACCUUGACGGUACCUUAUUAGAAAGCCACGGCUAACUACGUG